UACGGAGGAUUCAAGCGUUAUCCGGAUUUACUGGGUGUAAAGGGAGCGUAGACGGCGUGCCAAGUCUUAUGUGAAAGGCCGGGGCUCAACCCCGGGACUGCAUUGGAAACUGGCAUGCUAGAGUGCCGGAGGGGCAAGCGGAAUUCCUAGUGUAGCGGUGAAAUGCGUAGAUAUUAGGAGGAACACCAGUGGCGAAGGCGGCUUGCUGGACAGUAACUGACGUUGAGGCUCGAAAGCGUGGGGAGCAAACAGG
rnacentral:rRNA from 1 species